UACGUAGGUGGCGAGCGUUGUCCGGAUUUAUUGGGCGUAAAGGGAGUGUAGGCGGUCUUUUAAGUCUGAUGUGAAAGCCCACGGCUCAACCGUGGAGGGUCAUUGGAAACUGGGAGACUUGAGUGCAGAAGAGGAGAGCGGAAUUCCAUGUGUAGCGGUGAAAUGCGUAGAUAUAUGGAGGAACACCAGUGGCGAAGGCGGCUCUCUGGUCUGUAACUGACGCUGAGGCUCGAAAGCGUGGGGAGCAAACAGG
rnacentral:rRNA from 2 species